UCGUCGUAUGUUAUAUGUGUCAUACGAGACUGCCGGUAAAAAGACCGGAGGAAGGUGAGGAUGAUGUCAAGUCAGCAUGACCUUUAUAUCCAGGGCUACACGCACGCUACAAUGGUCUGUACAAUGGGUAGCCAAGCCGCGAGGCGGAGCCAAUCCUGAAAGCAGGCCUCAGUUCAGAUUGCAGUCUGCAACUCGACUGCAUGAAGCCGGAGUUGCUAGUAACCGCAGGUCAGCAAUACUGCGGUGAAUACGUUCCCGGGUCUU
rnacentral:rRNA from 1 species